rfam:Schistosoma curassoni strain Dakar, Senegal genome assembly, scaffold: SCTD_scaffold0003409
GUGCAGCUGACGAGUCCCAGAUAAGACGAAACGCGCAUUCUGCAU